UACGGGGGGGGCAAGCGUUGUUCGGAAUUACUGGGCGUAAAGGGCUCGUAGGUGGCCAACUAAGUCGGACGUGAAAUCCCUCGGCUUAACCGGGGAACUGCGUCUGAUACUGGAUGGCUUGAGUUCGGGAGAGGGAUGCGGAAUUCCAGGUGUAGCGGUGAAAUGCGUAGAUAUCUGGAGGAACACCGGUGGCGAAGGCGGCUUACUGGACCGGUUCUGACGCUGAGGCGCGAAAGCGUGGGGAGCAAACAGG
rnacentral:rRNA from 1 species